CCCAAUCACAGCCGGUUGUGAUACAGCCUGGACAUAAGUUAGCGACCUAACAGCUAGACUUGUUUACAAUGUACCACAUCUCUGUACCAUGUUUGAUGUGGUUAAUUUCCCGAAUGAAGAUGACAGUUUAGCUGUCAUCUCAAAAACCUGGUGCACCAAGGACAAAUGUUAUUGGCCUCCAUACAAGAGCCAAGAGAGGUUAAGGAAGGCAGUGAUGUCGCAGGAACGGCCAGACAUUGAUACAUGGGAGGUGUAUUCAAUUAAAUUACUGAAGACAAGGAAUUCAUAUGAGAAAGCCCAUGACUGCUCAAGCCUGGAAACAGAGCCAAUGUCUCACCAAAGAAAGAGAAAGUCCUCAGUCCUCUUCGUCACAGGGUCCAGCUGCUCAACAGCAUGAAGGUACCUGAUCUUGCCCAUCAUAUUAUCUGAGGUGUAAAGGGAGACUCUGUUUAUCUCUGAACUCUGUUUAUCAUGCAUCCUUGUGCUUUAUUACAAAUGCCAAGUCACUCACCCACCAUUGCACCUUGUACCA